rnacentral:misc_RNA from 1 species
CCUGCAGAUAUACCUUCUCUCCUAGAGUUGAAGCGCAUCUACUAUGAACUAAUGAUUCGAUAUCAUUCUCAUAGCAAUGACUACUUGGAAAUAUGCCGAUGUUACAAGGCGAUAUAUGAUAUUCCUUCUGUGAAAGAGGACCCAACACAGUGGAUUCCGGUGCUCAGGAAAAUUUCCUGGUAUUUAGUCUUAGCACCUCAUGAUCCGAUGCAAUCAAGCCUUCUCAACUCGACAUUGGAAGAUAAAAAUCUUUCUGAGAUACCUAAUUUUCGCUCGCUGCUAAAGCAAUUAGUUACUAUGGAGGUGAUCCAGUGGACCAUUCUUUGGGAAAUGUACA